rnacentral:rRNA from 1 species
GCAGUGAACUUAAGCCCCAGUAAACGGCGGCCGUAACUAUAACGGUCCUAAGGUAGCGAAAUUCCUUGUCGGGUAAGUUCCGACCCGCACGAAAGGCGUAACGAUUUGGGCACUGUCUCAACAACAGACUCGGUGAAAUUGUAAUUCCGGUGAAGAUGCCGGAUACCUGCGACAGGACGGAAAGACCCCAUGGAGCUUUACUGUAGCUUGACAUUGGGUCUUGGUACUACAUGUACAGGAUAGGUGGGAGGCUUUGAAACCAGGACGCCAGUUUUGGCGGAGCCAUCCUUGGGAUACCACCCUUGUAGUACUGGGACUCUAACCAUAGGCCAUGAAUCUGGUCUUGGGACACUGUCAGGUGGGCAGUUUGACUGGGGCGGUCGCCUCCCAAAAGGUAACGGAGGCGCUCAAAGGUUCUCUCAGUACGGUCGGAAAUCGUACGUAGAGUGUAAAGGCAAAAGAGAGCUUGAUUGCAAGACAUACAGGUCGAGCAAGGAUGAAAAUCGGACUUAGUGAUCCGGUGGUUCUGCGUGGAAGGGCCAUCGCUCAACGGAUAAAAGCUACCCUGGGGAUAACAGGCUUAUCUCCCCCAAGAGUCCACAUCGACGGGGAGGUUUGGCACCUCGAUGUCGGCUCAUCACAUCCUGGGGCUGUAGUAGGUCCCAAGGGUUGGGCUGUUCGCCCAUUAAAGUGGUACGCGAGCUGGGUUCAGAACGUCGUGAGACAGUUCGGUCCCUAUCCGUCGCAGGCGUAGGAAAUUUGAGAAGACCUGUCCUUAGUACGAGAGGACCGGGAUGGACG